UCUCUUAUUCUUUUCUAUUCUAAAACAUUUUUCUUACAUACAUUUUGCUGGAAUAUAUAUAUAUAUAUAUACUCAAAAUUAAAAUGUAUGUAUUUAUUAAUCUAAACAAAGUUAUAUGCUCGAAAUCAAAAUUUAUGUAUUGUUACGGAUCCGGCCCACGGAUCCUGGACCCAAGGUUAAACCCGAACCCGGUUCCUCGGGUCCGACCCAUCUCCUUCUUCCGGAAGGCCCGGAAACGGCCCUCUAGAACUCCUAACCGACUUUCGAAUUCAAACGUCUCCCUUAUCUUAGCCAAAUAAGAUAAGAUAAGAUAUUCACCAUCACCUAUAAAUAGAAAACCCAGGUCCCUCCAGGUAUUCAUUCAUUCCAUACACUUUACACCUCUCAGAUCCAUUCUGACUUGAGCGUCGGAGUGUCUUUGCAGAUACCUCCCCCCAUCGCUCCAGUCACGCGAUCCGGUCUUCACCUCGACCCGCAGGUUCCCGAUCCAUCCUUCAACCCGUACCAGAGACAUCUUGUACAUGUAUGUUAAGCUAAACAAAGUUAUACCACUAUUUUUUUAGGUUAACAUACAUAAAUUUUGAUUUCGAGCAUAUAACUUUGUUUAGGUUAAUAAAUACAUACAUUUCAAUUUUGAGUAUAUA
rnacentral:lncRNA from 1 species